rnacentral:rRNA from 1 species
CAGUCGCCACGGUAAUACGUAGGGUGCGAGCGUUAAUCGGAAUUACUGGGCGUAAAGCGUGCGCAGGCGGUUAUAUAAGACAGAUGUGAAAUCCCCGGGCUCAACCUGGGAGCUGCAUUUGUGACUGGCAAGCUAGAGUAUGGCAGAGGGGGGUGGAAUUCCGCGUGUAGCAGUGAAAUGCGUAGAUAUGCGGAGGAACACCGAUGGCGAAGGCAGCCCCCUGGGCCAAUACUGACGCUCAUGCACGAAAGCGUGGGGAGCAAACAGGAUUAGAUACCCCUGUAGUCCCUGUCUCUUAUAC